AGGAUGAGGUGCCUUUCCUCCUGGAUUUAUACAUCUUUUUAGGGAGAUCCCUAACUAUUGCCUCACAGCUUAAAAAUGUAGAAGACAAGGACGGGGUUCUGGGAGAUGUUCCACAGACAGUGGUUGAUGAAGAGGAAGAACAGCUCAGGCUCUGGCACAAGGAUCAUAUUGAUUUGAUAAACAUGAAAAAAGUUGUUGGAAAUGCCCAAAAGAAAUACCUGAGGUCUCGACCUCUCCCGGCCAAGGAGUCCAUUAAACGCUACAAACAGAUCCAGUCUACGGAUAACAUUGGAUUGCACCCUGUGUUUGCAAAAGAGUGCAGUACGGAAGAACAGCAGAAGAAUGAGUUAUUAAAUGCAUUGAAGGCAUAUAAAGGGCACUCAACAAUUUUUGAAACAAAUACAUCAAGCAAAAACAGGAGCUUUGAUGUGAUGAAACAUAAGAGAGCCUUCCAUCAAACAGUCAUCCAAAAGAAGACGAAGCAGGUGACAGACUUGAAGGAUGCAGAAUCAGACGACAGUGAUAGAGGGGAAACAGAGCAGCCGAUGGCUGAUGAAGAAAAUGUCAAGGAAACAUUUCGAACAGUCAUUGGAGGAAAAAGAAAAGCCAAUAACAAGUUGUUUGAUCCCCAGAGGAAAAAGAAACGCAAGCAGGAGAGUAUAAGAGAUGAAGAAAACUACCUUCACUAUCGUCCCAAAGACUUCCAGUCUGAACUCGGAUUAAGCUUAGGAACUUCCUUUGACAAAGAAGCGACAGGAGCUGUGUUAGACUUGCGAGAUGAGAUUAAUAAAUCUAAACCCAUGUCAAACAAGAGGUGGGACAGAAAAAAGAAAAAGUUUGUCACAACCAAUGACAAUGCAGCUGGCAAGAAAAAGAUCAGAACAGAGAGUGGGGCUAUGAUAUCAGCUUCCUAUAAAUCUCUUUACUUACAAAGAUUGGUUAAACAAAAACAAAAUGGCAAAUGCCAAUGACAGUGGAGAUGAAGAGGAAGAACAUGAAACUAACACUGGUAACCAAGACAACAGCUACAGGUUAAAGGUCAUUGGAACCAAGCGAAGAAACUGGCAUACAAAACUCAAAGAGGAAGAAGACCAGAAGAGAAAUCGGACAGAGCUGAAGCACAAGGAGGAAAUCCUCAAGCAGCGGAAAAUCAAAGCCAAGAAACAAGCUUUCCAAAAUCAUCGACAGAAACAGAGGCAGUCGCGUCAGAAAUUUAAAGUUCAAAAAUCCAGAAAGAAACACUGAUAUUGUAUAAUGUUAUGUCAUUUUGUUUUGAUCAUUUUCAUUAAAAGUGUUGGAUAUCU
rnacentral:misc_RNA from 1 species